rnacentral:lncRNA from 1 species
UUUUUUUUUUUUUUGAACUUUUUAUAAAACUAAGAACGUAAAAAAAAUAAAAUGAAAUUAAAAACCAACAAAAAAGCGGUAUUCCAAAAAAAGAAGACAUGAAUUUAAGAGUCUCGGUUUAUAAUCGAGCUAAGCUAAGACUCCUUUUGAAUGGACGGUAGUAAAAUCUUUUAUCACACACCUAUAAUAAUUACACCUACAAUAAUUAAUUUUAUUUCUACCGUUGUUUUUAACCUUAGCGAAGCUCGAGUUUGGCUGGAAAUUUGAGCCUGAAUUUAGUUAAAGCUUAAUAUCGUGUCAUUUUUAUGAUUUGAUAUAAAGAUCAAAUUGUUCAAGUUUCAAUUAGACAUGUGUAUCUAAUAAGAAAAUGAGCUUGAUUUAGUUCGAAAAUAUAUCAGUUCAAAAAUUUUAAACGAGUUCAAACAUAACAAUAUUAGAUUGUAGGAUUAAUGAUAAAUUUGACCAUUAACAUUUGUAUUUUCUGUCAAAAUGAUAUUAAUUGUAUUUUUAAGUUUUUUUAACCAUCAAUCUUUUUUUUUCAAUUAAUGAUUUAAUGAAUAAAUUUAAGUUCUCAAUCUUUAUUUUCUUUCAAAAGGUUUAUUUUCUUUAAAUUAGGAGUUAUUUUUUUAAUUUAAUGUAUUAAUUAUUUUAUUAUUUUUCACAUGUAAUUAUAUUAUUGAGUUAUCUAAAUAAUAAAUUAUAUCUCAUUAAAAGUAUUCUGUAUCAUUCUUGUUAAAUUUUUUUUAACGGUAUUUUUAUUAAAUCUAUUAAAAAAAAGUAGAUUGAAAAAAAGAACAAAAGUAGAUUGGCUGAAAAUGGCUUAAAAAUACAAUCAAGGUUAUUUUGAUAAAACAUGCAAAGUUAGUGGUCAACUUUAUCAUUAAGCCUAGAUUUUAACACAACAAAAUAUAGAAAUACAAGGUAAUUAUGUUAUUCGGAUUUAUGUAUGACAUGAAUGCGGUUAGUUUUUUUUAGCUUUGCCAUGUACUUGAAGGAUAUUUAGAGGUCUUAAUUCAUAUAUACGUGUGUUGAACAUGGGUAUUUUUUUGAACCACCGUUAAUUUUAAGAUACAUGGUCCUCUCAGAUUGUGACAUAAUAAUUAUUUAUUGUUUUUGUAAUUUUUUUUUAAGUUUGGACAAAAAAAUCUUGAGUAUUAAACAAGAGAAGAUGCUAAAUUUGGGGCGAAAUGCAUAUUUAAACCUAUUUCCUUUAAAUUUAUUAUUUGGGUUAAAUAUUUUUUGGGCUUGAAGUUGACAACUAUUUCCAUAUUAAGGCUUAGAAUUUUUUUUAUCUAAGUUAGAUCAUGAACUAAGUAAUUGUUUUUGCAUUAAGGCCUGAACUUUUGUUGUGUUCAGCUUAGACCUCGAAUUAGUUGAAUUUAGUAAUGUCAUUAUAAAAAAUUGUAAAAAGAAACUUGUAAAGAAAACUAUUUAAAUAUUUUAAAAUUUAUUAAAAAUUAUGCAAAUAUAAAUAAUAUUUGUAAAUUGCCAAGUUAUUAUACUAAGAUAACCUAUAAAAUGGAUUAUGACAUGAGAGAUGAUUAACAAGAACAUUAAAGCAAAUCCCAUAAACAACUUGAUCAACCACAAAAUAGAAAUCUUGCUUCCAAAAUGAUCAUUUUAUUUUAAGUGACAUGUCAAUGAUAGAUUAUAUUUGUUUAUGAAUAAAUGAUAGAUAAAUGUCAGCUCAAAAGGAAUCAUAUUUCGAUAUUGUAUUUGUCUAAAUUGAUUACUGAACGACUAAUCAAAGAAAAUGGUAGAUAAUCACAUAAUUAAUUAAAAAAUUAUUAAUAAUAUGUUUUUUAACCAAGAAAUAAUUUUUUUUAUGAAAAUAUAAAUUAUUGAUUAAUUAAUAAAACAAUCUCAGUGUGAUCCAAGAAAAUAUUUAAAAUCGACAAGAGAAAAGAAAAAAAAAUAGAUGUGGUGUCGUUGAUUUACUUGUCAGUUCGAUUGUUUUUAAUUCAUCAUCUGAUCUGAGUUAAAUUUUCCAGAUCUGAACAAGAUGAUCAACAGCAACAAUGGGGAUUUGUUACAUAUGCUAUGAUGGACCUCUAACAGCUUGAGAGCGUGACAAUUUCACGCGAACGAAUUUCUAUUGUUACUCGAUGAUAACUGGGUGAACCCUAUGUCGGAUAAAGGCAAAAUAAUGUAACCGUGAACAUGUUUCAGAUAAGUUCCUUUGCUUCUUUUCUGGCUUCGGCUAACAUAGAGUUCACCUGGUUAUCAUCGGGUAACAAUGGAGGUUGUUUAACUUUAAACAAUAAACAAUCUGAUGAUUCGCGUGGUUCAAAUGUUACUCUCUCAUGCUGUUUAAGGUACUUUAUAGGUUGAUCUAAUCUCGAAGACAUUAAUCAAGAAUUUCAAGGGUGAGUUAAAAGGGCACUUCGUUAGCAGAAGCUGAGACAAAGCAGAGAUUGCUCGAAACACCUGAAAGUUCAGACAAUUCGAUCAACAAUAAUAAAAGAUAUGUCAAUGUUUACAAAUCUAAUUAUUAGAUUUGAUUUUAUGAUCUAAAUCCCAGUUUAACUUUCUAACCUAGUUUAUGCAGGUACUUUAUGCAAACCAGGGUUAUCAUUGAUAUGCAGGUAUUAUGAUUAAACUGUCAUUUCUCAUGCACAGACCUGUUUUUGGACUUAAGAAAGAAGUUGUUAAGCCAUUUUCAGCUAUGGUACUUUUAUUUGGUUGUUAGUUUUGAAUACCUAUGCAUGUUUGUUAAAUUUUUUUGUAGUUUUCUUAACGUAUUUAGUUUUGAAUACAAUACUUUGCUUAGUCAAGCAUAAAGUGUGUUAACCUCUAGAUAUACCUAUAUAUAUUGCAUUGAACAUCAACUGCCUUUAGUAGCUUUUGGGGACUUGGAUUUCAAAACAUGGAUUUGGGUUGUCAAGCUUUAUGACAAAACACGUAAAUAUAGCAUUUAUGAUUAUUUCACGAAUAAUAAUCAGAUUCUAUUGGCACUGUGGCCACUGAAGCAUCUCGUGACUUUGUAAGCGAAAUCUUUCGGCAUUUUGAUUAUCACCUAUGUAAAAGACACUCCUAGUUUCUUGAAUUUAUCUUGAAUUAAGCAGUUGUGUGGACAUUGAAUUAGAGGGGUUGAAUUGAUUUUGAGUCAGAUUAACUUGAGUGUUAAAAAUUUUGAUUUAUUUUUAUUUGAAUUUGAGUUUUCAUAUCACCUUAUUUUUUAUAUUAUAAUAUUAUUAUGUACAUUUUAUUAUUGGAAAUUAAUUUACUGUAGCCAACAAUUGUCGAUGAUCUUUUUGUAUUUGAUAGUUAUCUUCAGAUGUUUUUUCUAUCCACAAUAUUGAAAACUAAAGCUUUAAAACAUUAAACUCUUUAUCACUCGGUACUAUUUCAAAUGGCAAGACGAGCCAUGUGUGCCAAAUCAACAAAGGUGAACCAGUCAAAUUACAGGUUCUGGAUUUGAUCGGCUAAUCUUGAUCCAAUCAGACCUGCAAGUCUUGUACAAUUCCAGGUAAUUUCAAUUUUCAAGUGGCUCAACCAGCAUUUCACCAUUUUGCAUAAUUGUGUGUUCACAUACAAAUAUAAAAAAAUACUAAAUUUAGUAUAGAAUUAGUAAGCAAAUGUACUAGUAAUUAAGCAAGAACAUGAAAGCCCAAACACAAAAAAAUAUGCAAAAAUGGAAUUGGAAUAUGUUCAAGUUGAUACUCCAUUAAUGGUUUUUACAAGCUACGCUGCAAGAAAGCAUUGAAAUCUAAGCCCCUGCGAAAAAAAUCUAAAGCUUGUAUAAUGUACCGGUCGUUGAUUAGAUGAAAAUUCUAGAUUCCGACAUGGUUGCAACUCGAAGGAACUUACUUUGUCUUGUCACUCACGCUUUUUUCGCGUUGUCUUUGAGUCUGUAUGCUGUCUGAAUACUGGAGUUUAGUUAUGAUGCCGGAUAAGCAUGAUCAAUACGAAAGAACUAGCACAGCCAGAAACAAUAAGCUCGCCAUCCAGAGCUGUAGAAAGACAUUUUUGCCUUUAAACUCGAGCAGGUAAACCCAUUACAACCAGUGGGUUUGAGCUCCCAUCCACAAAAAAAUGCAACAUAGACCUUUCCAUUUAAGCUUCAUAUUGCUCCAUGGCAAAAUAAGAGGCAAGAGACAAAAGAACCAUACAAAGUACUGCGCUGUGAUUACCUGUUCUUCGAGAAGUAAAUUGACAAUGAAUACACGAAUGCAGAUUCCAAACAACAAACGAAGCUAGGGAAGCUAAAUUCACAUGCCUUAUUGAAUGCUACGAAUGCCACUGUCUGUACAAAGAAGCAGAACACGGGAUCCUUUGCUAAGUAAAAAAUGAGUACUAGCUGCAGUAUAAACUGAGACAAAAAGGAAAUGAACUUUUCCAGAAUCGAAAGAUGGCGUUCUUAGUUGAGAUAGAUAUGGUAGAAAUAGAUGGAAAAAUUAUGUCUUGGAUCCAUGAAAGUAAGAUGAUAGAGCAAUACCUCGAGGAAAAAUUCCCAUCUGUAUACCCUGAAGAAAGAACCGGUGCAAAAGAGGAUAACAGUCCCGGAAACAAGACCAAACAAAAUCCUUGACCUCGUGAAUACGCUUUUCAAUACAUUAAGCACAACACUUUUAUCAGUCACUUCUGAAUUAAUUUGACGAGGCUUCCCUUGAUCAGAAAUCCAAUCACUAAGCAACGGUUUCACUCCGGAUUGAAAAAAGCGUGGAUUGAGAAAAAGGGUAAUGGGAAGCACAUAGAUUAUAGGAUAAAUUCUGAAGUGAAGAAUAAGACCGUACCAAAGCGCAGCUUGUACUACAUUACCCACCAAGAAAAAAGAAGGAAAUCAAUAAAGCAGACCAAUAUACAGCCAACUCGUCUUAACGUAGUGCUCAAUCAUCAACAAUCAAACAUAAAACUCACAUCAGAUAUAGAGAACCAACAUGUAAAAGAACUAUCGAAAUAAAAGCUUUCCUAUUGAAUACCCCAACUCGUAACUUUCUCAAUCGAAAUCAAGCAGGCAGUCCAAUAUAAUUGUUAAUCUCAGUAUAUUCUUCCCACAAGUGAAAUUACAGAGCAGGUUACCUUAGAGUCGGUAAAAUGAGCAAAUUAGCCCAUCAUAAUGCAAUCCAGGGUAUAGUACAGAGGGGUUUUGUAGUACUUUUACCCAUUAGAGACACAUAAUUCAAAUAAAUAUAUAUCUUUUUGAAACACCAAACUUCUCAAAAGUGCAGCUUAUGCAAUUAAGACUCUCCCUUAGAAGGCCAAUGCUCUAAUUACAUCCAAAUUUUAUAACAUUCUUCGAACAACUAAGGGGCUGCUAAGCUUUUUAAGUCGGUUUAUUUGGCAUGAUAAAAUGGUUCGAAGCUUGAAGCUCCACAAGUCCCGAAUAUAGCUAUCCCAACAUACUAACAAGCUAAUCGAGAAGAACCAAGAAAGGUAAAGUCUUUUACCAAAAGCAAAAUAUACCAUUAGUAAGACAAAUAAUAGUCCACAAAAUCAUGGCACAAACAAUAGGUUCACAGUUUCCUCGAGUUCCAAUUGUGAAGGUAAAUGGGUUGAAAAGCCAUAUCAACAUGGAAUAAGUGCAUAGAUUAUCAGGCACCUUACGUUGCUUCAAUAUGAUAAGAAUAAACAACCCAACAAACUAAUCUGCAAAUUAAGAAUAAAAAAUGAACAAAAAAACAUGGGUUUUAGCUGAAACUUAAAUCUAAAAAAGGGAAAAAAUCAAAAGUGAAAAUUAAUCAAAAUACCUGACGCUGAGAAGAGAAAUUUGCCACAAGAAUGAGAAAGAAAAGAAUUGGGGGUUAAUAAUAAUAAAAAAAAAGCAAGUAAAGGUGAAUAACGGUAAGUGGUUCUUUUAUAAGGAGAAUGACCGGAAGCCAUUAAAGAAGCAGCACCGGAGAAAACAAGGUAAUCUACUUCCGUAUAUCGAACUUCCAUAUGGGUGUCUUGCCAUUCACCGAACAAAAUUAAACCCACGCGGAAAAUGGCUGAUAUUAGGAGAACCAAACGGGGUUUAAGUGAAAUCAUGGCUGAAAAUGGGAAAUUUGAGGGAAACAAAAUUAGACCCAAAUCAGAGAAUAAAAAAAAGGUUAAUUGGGGAGUAAACUAGUUAUGAAUUAUGGAGAUGUAAGAAAAAAAAAAGUUUUAAUAAACUAAUAAAUUUAGAAAACCUUGAAUCUCAUAUAAUAUUCAUCUUUCUCAGCAUUAAUAUUAUCUAAUAUAGUGUUUAUUAAGUUUUUAAUAAUGUACUAGUUCUGUUCUUAGAACUAAGACAAACUGAAAUUUGAUUAAGAUGAUGAAAAAGGUUUUAAGUUGUAAAUAAACCCUAGAAAUGCAAUUACAUGGAUCAAAGAUUGUAUAAGCUGAAUAGGAACACCUAUAUCAAAUUGGAUUUCGUUAAGCUUUGAUGAUAUAAUCAAUGCUCUUAAUAUAAAAAUGAAUUGACUGAUCGACGGUAGAGGAUUGUUCGACUCUUAAAAUGUAAAAUUAUUAUUUAGACUUUUAAGAUUUUUAAAAAAAUUUAAAAUUAUAAAAUUUUAAUUUAUUCCUUUAAAAAAAUUAUAAAAAAUUAAAAUUUUAUUCGAUAUUUCUUAAAAAUUAUUCUGAUUGUACCAUUGUUGAUCCAAUUGAUUGAACCAAGAUCAAAUAAAAGGAUUGAAGUGAUUGAAUAAAAAAUUAUUCACAGUAAAAUUCAAAAUUUGAAAUAGGAGUUAAUUGUUGAACAAAUUGAAUCAGUUUAGUAAAAAAAUUAUUUUAUAAAUUUUUAAUUAAUUAUUCUAUAUCUUUGAUUAUUGCAAGAGGAAGAAAGUGAAAUAGUGAUUGGAAGGAGAUGAAAAUUCAGAUAUGUAGACCACCAAACAGUAUAAUAUAAUAUGAUAAAAAUAAUGUUGAUUGGGAGAAAUCGUCCUACCAUGGACUUCUAUAUUUUCGCGUCCGAAUGUUGUUCUUGAUUCAACUUUAGCAAUGUUUUCUCGCGAUGGGCGCAUGCAUAUUCAACUUAAACCAUAUUAAUUUUCUCUAUCCAAUACGGUUGAUAUGAACUAAAAUACUCGUCCUAAAAAAAUUGUAAUGACUUAGGGUGCGUUUAUUUCGCAAUAAAAUAAUUUUUAGAAAAUAUUUUUACAAGAAAAUAUUCUUUAAAACACUGAUAAAUCUCUUCUUUCAUUUUGAAAAACAUUUUACCGAUUUUAUUUUUGUAAGAUAUUUUUCUUUCUCAUAAGUCUCAUAGAGUGACUAAACAAUCUUUCUCCCUUCUUCUCUGUCUGUUAGCCUCCGACUCUCCUCCUCAUGAGGUUGUUUUUUUAUUUAUUUAUUUUGGCAACAUGGGGAACUUCUUCUCUAAUUGGGAUGUUAAAGAACUUCAACAAAUUGCAUUAUUAGAGAGAAACAAAGGAAGGUAUAUCACAUUCUUUAAAGCAUGCUUGUAUGUCAGUCAUGGAUGAUUGAAUUGAGUGUUUUACUUCUAUUAUUGAAUUAUUAUCGUUUCCUGAUUCUCUUGCUAUAAUCAAAUAAAUAGUUGCUAUUUUAGUUUAUACAAUAAGUUGCCUGCUCACUCAUUGUCAUGGUGUCUUUAAAAAUUAUUUAUUUCAUUCUUCUGAAUAUUCAAUGAUUUAAUUAUCUCUCUUCUUCACAAAGUUUACAAUUUAAAUGUUUAACAAGUAAAAGUUCCCAUUUGAAACUAUUAACCAUCCUUGGUAGGGGAAAUGUUUUUGAAAGACUGUAACAGAGCUCCAAAUUACAGGACUUCUUCAAAUGCCCGUGAAAAUGUGGUUGGAUUGUGCCUAAAGGGUAUGUUGGAAAAAAUAUAAUUUUUGAAAACUUUGGGGCAUAUUCUCGAUUGGUAAAGGUGGAGGGUUGAAUCAUAAAAUUAUGGUUUUAUAUUCUACUCCAUGAGACCUUUAGAACGGUAUACCAUAUGCUCGAAACGAAUGAGUGAUAAAUGAGAAAUUGAUACUCAAAGUAAGCCAUUUGUGAAUAUUUGUUGAGGAAAAGAAAAGUUUAGAUCCCACAUUGGUUAAAUACCAAGUGUGAGAUAUGUAUAUAUAUGAGAAUCCACUUGAUGAUUAUUAAAAGACUAAGCUUAAAACCUUAUCCUACACAGACAAGGUUUAAGAGGAGGAGUCAGUCCUAGAGUCAAAAGUUAUAGAAUUUUAAAUUGGAGGUCCUUAUAUGACAAAUAGACCAUUUAGAGUAGUUAGUAUAUAAAAAUGAUUAUUCAUCAUUGGAAAUUUAAUAAAUCCAUUAAGGUUAAUUUUGGAAAGUUAAUAAAAUAAAGAUGAUAAAUAAAUUAAAUAAUCUAUUUUCAUCAUCUUUUCAUCAAAAACACGUGGAAACCCUAGCCAUGGAAAUUGAGUUCAAGCAAGCUUAUUUUGCUUAAUUAGAUAAGUAUUUUAGUUCUGUUUUUAAUGAUUUUUAUGUUUUUGAGAUCGUAAUAGCUUAAUCUAACUAUCUUGGGGAUUAAUUUGCAAAACCGUUAAAGUACCCGUAUUCGUUGCCAGAAUAGAGUACGAGACAUUAUCGAGAAGCACGAAACACUUACAGAUAAUUUAAAUACAUUUUCAUAACAAUUUGUUUCGAUUUCAUACUAUUUCAUAUUUAAGCUUUAUUCACUAAAGCAAAUAGCACACAUGAGGUACAUAAUUCCAUAAUUAUGAAUGAACACAUUUAUCAAACAUAUUCCAUGUUUUUAUAUAUAUCAUAGUUUCAUAUGUCCAUGUAUCAAUUACCAUCACCUCCUCGUAUUUCAGACAAAUACGUGUAACAAUUCAUAAAUAUGCAAUUCAUUAACUCUUCCUACCAAUCACGAUUUAAGUUGCCAAAUCACUUAUUGAGCCCAACUUCAAUGUUCACUAAAAUCUAUCAUAUAAAUUUUGAUGUACGUAUUCAUCAAUAAAUUCCAUGUACAGAUAUCAUCAUCUCAUAUUUCCACAUACAUUUGCUUUCCACAUUUAUGAAUUCAAAUAGCAUAUACAAGACAUACCAAUGUAUUUCAAGUACGUUUUCAUGAUAUUUCAUUUCGAACUCAGAUUAUUUCAUACUAGAAGUUUUCUCAUUAACUCAUUUGGAAUACCAAUUCAUACGGAUAAUACACCCAAGGCGUAGAAAUAUAUAUCACAAAUGAAUUCAUCCAUCAACCAAGUUUUAUGCUCAUGUCUCAUCAACUUGUAUUUCCUUAUGUCACAUAAUUUCAUGUAAUACUUACCAAACUUCUACAAAUUAGUGAACAUCUUACAGAAUUGAGUACUUCGUUUUCUCGAUACCAUAGUUCAACUAUGGUCUUACACAUCUUCACAUAAUGAUGCCAUAGCCCAGCUAUGGUCUUACACAUAUUCAUAUAUCGAUACCAUAGCCCAGUUAUGGUCUUACACGUAAUCACAUAUCACAUAUCGAUGCCAUAGCCCAGCUAUGGUCUUACACGAAUCACAUAUCUCACUGAUGCCAUAUCCCAGAUAUGGUCUUAUACAGUAGCAUAUAUCACACCGAUGCCAUAUCCCAGAUAUGGUCUUAUACGGAAAUCACUUGUCACUUGUCACUUGUCACUUGUCACUUGUCACUCGUAGCCAAAGCUACCACUAUUCACUGAUCAGGUAGCCGGUGCUACCAUUUUUCACUGAUCAGGUAGCUGGAGCUACCACUUUUCACUGAUUAGGUAGUUGGAGUUACCACUUUUCACUGAUCAGGUAGCAGAAGCUACCACUUUUCACUGAUCAGGUAACUAAAGCUACCACUUUUCACUGAUCAGGUAGCUAAAGCUACCACUUUUCACUUGUCAUUUGUCAUUGAUCAGAUAAGUGUAGCCGAAGCUAUCACUUAUCACUUUCAUUUGUCCUUGAUCAGAUAAGUGUAGCUGAAGCUAUCACUUAUCACUUGUUGCCAUGGUCCAACCAUGGUAUUUUCCUUCAAUUCAUCUUGUCACUGAACUGAAAUGCUCAAUUUGAUCAUUUAUUCAAUUUUCAUGCUUUUACAUUAUUCACGAUUUUAUCAUCAAUACAUAUGAAAUAACUCAUCAUGAAAUUCAUAAAAUUAACGAAUAAUCACUAAAAUUUAGCCAUAUAAACUCACAAGUUCAAUUUUUGUAUUAUAACGAUAAUCAUAAUUUCAUAAUAAAUAUUCCAAAUAAAACAUUAUAUCAUUUCUAAUCCAACACUCAUUGAUUAUAAUCGGGCAUGUGAUCAAUUUAUACACGAGUCAUUCAUAUAUAUGUAUAUUUUUCCUCCUCCUCCUCUCCAUCCACAUCCUUAGUAUAAACAACAUACUUGUAGGUAACAUUAUCCAUAAUUUUCACUAUCUACUUAUGUGAAUAUUCAAGCUGUCCAUCAGUGUCAUAGUCACUAAAUUAUUUUUAUAUAAAGCUACGAAACUCCAAAUUAAGAUCCGCUAAUUUUCUCUGAAACUAUAUUCACAUAUCUUAUUACCAUAAAAUUUUUAUAAUUUUUGGUUGGGCCAAUUAAUACAGUCUAUUCAUUGAAGUCUCCCCUGUUUUGCUGUCUGACAGUUCCAACCCUUCUUCACUAAAAAUUAAUUAUCUCCUCGUACAGAAUUCGAAUGAUGUUCCUGUUUAUUUCUCUUGAAAAUAGACUCAUUCAGGAUUCUAAACAUAUAAAUUUAAGCCCCUAAUUAUUUUUUUUCCAAUUUUUGAUGAUUUUACAAAUUCAGAACAGGGGAACCCGAAAUCAUUCUGACCUUGUCUCACAAAAUUUAUCAUAUCUCAUGAUUUACAAUUCCAUUGCUUAAAUUAUUUCUUCUAUAAGAAACUAGACUUAAUAAGAUUUAAUUUUAUAUUUUAUUCAUCUUCUAAUUCUAUUUCUACAAUUUUUGGUGAUUUUUCAAAGUUAGACUACUGCUGCUGUCCAAAACAAUUUUAGUGCAAAAUGUUGAUUUCCAUUUUGCCCCAAAUUUCACAAUGCAUACAAUUCAGUCCUUACUCAAUUAACCCCUCCAUUAAGAUAAUUUUCUCAAUUAAUACUUUUCCUAGACAUUAUAAGUUAUUUCAUAACUAUUGAAAUUCAUAAUUUUCAUAUAAAACUCUAACUUCACACUCUUUUACAAUUAGGUCCCAAACAUUCACUUUCUAUUCAAUUCUUUCAAUAAAAUCAGCAUAUAAAUAAUUUAAGGCUCUAAUUCCAUGCCAAAUCAUCAUAUACUUCCAGCACAUAUUCAUAGAAACUUUCAAUUUCUUUCAUAGAAUAAAAAACUAAUGAAUUCAACAAGUGGACCUAGUUGUAAAAGUCACAAAAACAUAAAAAUUUCAAGGAGAAAGCAAGAAUUAAACUUACAUGAAGCUAGAGUAUGAAAACCAGCUUGAACCUUCCUCAAUGGCUGUUUUUCAGCUGAUGAAUAUGAAGAGAAAAUGAAGAGAAUUCUAGAUAUUCCAAUUUGGUCCCAUUUUUAUUUAGUUAAUUUUGGCAAUUUUCCAAUUUUCCAAUUUUGCCCUUAAUUCACCAAUUUCCUGAUUUUUCUCAGCUAUUGCCGUCCAAAAUAUCUCCUAUGGGCUUAUUUUUAGUUUAGGUCCUUCCUCAUUUGAAAAUUGAGCUAUUUAAUCCCUUUAGCAACUUUUACACCUUUUUCAAUUUAGUCCUUUUUAUUUAAUUAACCACCAAAAUGUUAAAAUUUUCUGACAAAAUUUUAAUACUACUUCACUAACACUCUAUAAAUAUUUCUAAAAAUAUUUAUGGCUUAGUUUAUGAAGUCGAGGUCUCGAUACCUCAUUCUCGACCCAAUUUACAUAAUUAAUUCUUUUAAAUCACCAAAUUCACUAAUUCAAAAAUACUUCUAUAUUCACAUUUGACUUAUAGGUAUUAAUUUAUUAAAUUUUCAACUCAAUCGUCGGAUUUAGUGAUCUCAAAUCAAUAAUCCCGACACCAUUGAAAAUUAGGCUGUUACAGUAUUAGGGUUUUUCCAUAGAUAAGUAUAAUUGAAUUUAUUCCCUCCACGUCAAUAUGAGACUUCGAAAAACUUUUUAGAGAAAUAGACAAUCCCUCCCUCCACCCUAAUGACAAACCCCUUAUUGUCUCUUCUGCAUCCACAUCAAUCCCAUAAUCAAAACCACACUACUGUCUAAUUUGUUCCAUACGUUUCCCACUAACCUUUGUUUCCAUAAGAAACAAUAUUUGAGGUCAAAUGUGUCUCAACUUAUUUUUUAGACGCCUGGUAGUCCGUGGCUACCCUAAACCACGAACAUUCCAAUUGAAGAUUUUCAUUGCGCUUGGUCGGCCUGCUUAGAAGCGGCUGUCGAUAUUUCAUUCCCUAUUCUCAACUCCAAUAACCCCUUAUUUUUAGCAAAACCACCCAGUUCUAUUUAAAACUAUUGCCUCUUCUUCCCGUCAAUAACUUCCACAAACAUAUCUUCCAACUCAGAUCCCUCUCCCCUUUCCUCAAAUUGCCCCACCCCAUAUUCAAUCUUUUUAUCCAUGAAUUUCUUUAUAUGUCGAACAAAGCCCCCUCUUUAACCAUAAUACCCUUCAAACCCUUUCCUUCUUUAUGAUUAAUUCGAUUGGUUCUGUCAUCACCAAAACUCCUCUCCCUUCUAUCCCCAUCGACUUCUAUUCUUGCCCACCUAUCAGCCUCAAACUCCUCCUACAACAAUUUACUCAUCAACGGCCCUCCCCUCAUUGGCGCAGCUCGCAAAGAUAGAUCCCAGCCAAGCGACACCUCCUGAUUCCCCAAUGUUAAUCGAACCAGACAAAAGCUCUCCCCAUUACCCAGAUGGCCACAUAAAAAUAGAACAACGACAAUUUUUCAUAUUGAAACAAUGUAUAUGUGAAUUUAUCUUGCUCAACUAUGAUUUAUUUUUUUCCUCUUUAUCAAGAGAAGAAUGUCAAGCACAACCCUAACCUGCAUAAAUUUGCUUAACCCCUUCGUUACCAACGACAAAUCAUACUCCAAAAAUCUCCCAACAAAAUCCCCGAAUUGUCGUGCCAUCCCCUCCAUCAGAAAUCCAAUCGGUAAAUUGUGAGUCUGUACCCAGAAAAUAGUAGACCUAUGGAACUUGAAUUGGAUCCUCACCCCUUGUCAACCUAUGGAACACAAAGAGAUGUCUGUUAAUGAACCAUGACAUACCAUCCAUAACCUGCUUCAAAUCGAUCUCACUAUAAAAUCGAAAUAAAAUAUACUUUUCUUCAAUCUCCACGAUGGACACCCCAAUCAGUGGAUGCCACAAAUUAGCCAGAAUAUUCCUUAAAGAUAGAAAAUUAACAAUAUUGUCCGUAAGAACUCGUCCUACCAGGCACAAUCCAUACUUUUCAUCAACAGCAAUAUCAUCCCCUACCACCAUCAUAGGAUCUUCCUCCUCAUCCAUAAUAUUAAGAUUAGCAAAACCCUCAUCAACCAUAUUGAGAUUAGCCAUUACGUACCCACAAACUAAAUAUCAAAUCUCCACAAAUGACAAAACCCUAACCAACAAAGAAACCCUAAUCAAAACUCGUGCAACAAGACAAACAGAGAAAACAAAAACCGUGCUACUAGGCAGACUUGAUUAGUUUCUUUACUUUUUAAAAUGUUGAGACUAACCUUCUUUUUUUUUUCUUUUUUAAUUCUAUCAAAUAGUUUGAGAUAACAUAUUUUUUGAACAUAUGAUAAGAUGGUAUAUAAUUUAAUAUUUUUUUACAUAUAGAAAAUAAAAGGAAAAUGUAUAAUAUUUGUCCAAUUGUACAAAAAAAAAAAUUGAAAUGCAUAUGUAAUACCACCACAUGUUAAAAAAAUCAUAUAGAAUGCACAAAAAAAAAUAGCUUUAGGACUGAAAAUACAUGUUUCAAAAAGUAGUGGAACUAGAAAUUAAUAAAUCAUGUAGAGCGAUUAAACCCAUAAAAAAAAUAAUAAUAAAGGGAGUUUUCAUACAGUUUUACCAUUGACAAUUUGUGUUCCAUCUUCUCGGAUUUUAAAACAAAAGCAAAUCCAUUUAUAAUUUAUUUACGGAGGAAAAAAGAAUUUCAUAAUUUCACUUAAUAUAGAUUCCAUGUAAAAGUUCUGCAAUUAAUUCACUUUAAUCAAAUUUAGUUUUUAUAUUUUUCAAAUUGGUCAAAUUCGGUCUUUAUACUUUUUUAAUUUUGAUCCAAACAAUAGAAGUUAUGUACUAUACGUAUAGUUGUAAAUUUAGUACAUAAUCUCCAAUUGAAUCAUUUUAAGUCUCUAUACUUAUUUUCAAUUUUAGUUUUAAUGCUAAUGGCAGUCGUUAAUUCAUUAGCUGGAUUUUGAAAUUACUCAUCAAAUUUUGGAAGUAACAUAAUUUAAUGAAUUUUGCAAUUAUCAUAGGUGAGUAUUAAGAUUUUAAAAUUUGAAAAUACAAAUAAAUUUGGUUUGAUUUGUAAGUGUAGAUUAACUUUGAUUGAUUUUACAUCAUACAAUAUUUAACAAGCAAAUUUCAAGUUCCAAACUACUUUAAUGUACUUAAAAAAAUUGAUGGUAAAAAUUUUAAAAUUUAAAAUGAAACCUUAUCAAUAAAAAGGAGAGAUUGUAUGGUUAUCAUAUUAUUUGUGAAAUAUCGAUAACAUUUUAUUCAACAUAAAAAUGAACUUAACAAUCUAAUGAAUAUUUUUAUUAUCCAACGUUUAGUGUGAUAUCAUGUCUUCGAUAUAAUUUUAAGGGUUUAAAUUAUUUUUUAAUAAUUUUUAAUUUUUAUAAUUUAUUAGAAUUUUAUAUUUUUUAUAAGUUUUCAUAAAUUUUAAAUAAUUUUAUAAUUUAUUAUAUUUUUUUAUUGUUUUAUAAUAUUUAUAAGUUUUUAUUAUUUUUAAAUUUUUACAAUUUUUAUAAGUUUAUAUCAAUUUUAAUUUUUUAAUAUUUAUUAUUUUUAUAAGUUUUUAUAAAAUUUUAAAUAUUAUUAUAUUUAUUAAUUUUAUUAAAAAAUUAUAAAUUUUUUAUAUUUUUAUUAUGUUCAUAAGUUUUAUUAUUUUAUUAUAAUUUUUAUAAGUCUAUAUUUUUUUAAAUAUUUUUUAUUUUUGAUAUUCUUUUAUAAUUUGCCCUUUCUUAUAAAUUUUAAUUGUUUUAUGAUAAAAUAUUAUAUUAAACAAGAAGUUGUUAGGUGUUAUUAUCUGAUUGAUUCGUCAAUUUAUUUUAACAGAUUAUAUGGUUAAUCACAGGAUUCUAUUAAUAAAUAGGCUUAAUUGAUUAUUUUAAAUAACAAUAAAAGUUAAAUUGAAUGCAAUUUUAAUAUAAAAAUUUAUUUUUAUUUUUGCGCAAACUUUUAAGAUUUUUUUUUGGCAUAUAACGUCAUCAUUAUUACAAAAGCAACAGCAAACGAAACAAAAAAACAAUCUCACCUGUUUUCUGUCUUCUGAAUUUAUAAGGUUAAAUUUUGAUAUCAGUUCCUGUACUUUAUAAAAGUUGAGGAUUUAGUCACUGUAUUUUAAUUUGAUUAAAUUUAGUCUGUGUAUUUUUUGAAUUGGUAAAUUUUAGUCUCUUUACUUUUUUAAUUUUAAAAUUUUAGUCCUGAUUUUAACAAUAGUAAUUAAAUUCAUUCAGUUAAAUUUAAUUAUUAAUCCCUUACUAUGCAUUCAAUUGUAGAUUUAGUAGAUAUUCUACAAUUAGAUUAUUUUAAGUGUCUAUUCUUUUUUUCCAGAUUUUGAUAUUGACACAAAUCACAACGGUUAAUCCAUUGACUAAAACCCUAGUGAGUAAAAUAUGAAAAUAACAAUUUAAUAUGACAUUAAACAUAUGAUAAUAUGUUUACCUAGAGGUGAUCAUGGGUCGGGCGGGCUGGGCCCGAGCUAAAAAACUCUUACCCCGGGCCUCGUUUCUUUGCCCAAGCCCAUUUUUCGAGCCUAUAUUUUUAUCCAAACCCUCCAAUUUUUCGGGCUGGCCUUCGAGCCAGGCUGGGCCACCCAGCCCAUAAUCAGCUCUAUGUUUACCCUAUCGAAUUUGGAAAUAACUUAACCUAAUAAAUUUGAUAGUUAGUAUUUAAUGAGAUUAAAAUUUUAAAAUUUUAAAAAAUAAAUAGACUAAAAAUAAUCCAAUCAAAAUAAAUGAACUAAAUACACAAUUUUUUUAAUGUACUCCGUCAUAAAAAAAUUUAAAAUAAAUCAUAAUCCAAUUUGUUAGAAUCUAAACAUAAAAGAAUAUAUAUAUCCAAAACAAUCCGAACCCCCAUAUCAAACUCCUAAGACUUUAAAAGAUGGAUGGGAUCAUGGGGGAUUAGUCGCUCAUUUUUGUCCAAAUUAAUCAUCCUUUUUGAAUAUAAAGGAGUUUCGUCUCGCUUCCAAAUUACAAGCAGAAAUAUGAGUCUCGAGUUUGUUUGACCCCAAUCCUUUUUAUUUAAUCCCUCAGAGCUACUCUUACUUAGAAUUAUUUAUAGGUUGAGUUCGACUUUAAGGUUAGUCUAAAAAUUAUGAGAGCUUAGAUAAAAAUAUAAAUUUAAAAAAAACUUAGAACAAAAAAAUAAUAUCUGUUUAGAAAAUAGGUCCGGUAUCAGGUAACUCGAAUAUACAAAAAAAAAAAAAAGUUAUUUUUUAACUUUUUGGCUACCAUUUAACUGUUAUAUUGUUAUUAUAUAAUUUUUAUUUUAUUGUUAAUUUUGUUACUAUUUUAGAGGUAUUUAUUUGUUAAGUUAUAUAUACCUAUCUUAUUGUUAUUUAAGUAUAUAUAUUAAUUUAUUUUAAUAUUUUUAGUAUUUUUGUUGUAUUAUAUUUUUUAAAAAAUUUUAUAUAAAAAAGUAAUAUAAAAAAGAAUAAUACGGUCGACCCGAACUCGAGUUUUAACAUUUUUAUAUUUUUCAGGUUAAGUUGAGUUCGGGCCUAAAAUUUUGAUUGGGCUUUUUUUCGAAUUUAGUUCGACUUGACCCAUGAGCAUCUUUAAUCUGUCAUUGACCCUUGUCAUUCAUUUUAUUUAAUCCCAAAAUAAAAUGAAUUUAUACAGUCUUUAGUUUUUUAAUUUUUAUAUUUUUUUAAAAUAUAGAAUUUAGAAUUUUUUAUAAAGAUUUUAAAAUUUAAAAGUUAUUUAAAAUUUUUUUAUUAUUUAUUUAGAGGGGUCAAUUUUCUUCAUUACAAAAAUAAAAAAAGUACUUACACUCGAUUUCUAAAUUCAAUUUACUUGUUUGGGUUCCACUACAAAAAUUGAAAUAACUCAAUUUUAAUUAUUAUUAUUAUUUAUUUACUGCUGACGCCUAAUUAUCGCCACGGGGAGUAUCGCUCUUUUUGUCAAACUAUUCAUCCUCUUUGAAGAAAAAGGGAUAUCUCCACUCGCUCCAAAUUAGAAGCAGAAAGUGAAUCUCGAGCUUGUCUGACCCUAGUCCUUCUUUCUAUUUAAUCCCCAAAUUGAAAUGAGUUCAUUUUUACCCAACGCUUUGGCAGCCGGCCUUCUCCCCUCUUCUCUUCACUGUAGACAAAUCUAAGAAGUAAGUGCUAUUUAAUUUACCAUCUCAUUUUCGUCGCAGUCCAUACAUUUCCUGCUUUGAUCUUGCAGAAUUUCUUCUUCAAUUACGUGGAAAUUUCGCUUCAUAGGGUCUGGUUUUGAUAGUUCAUAUAUUCUUUGAUAGAACAUUUUGGUAUCGUUUGUUCCGAAUUGGAAAAAAAAUCGAUUUUUUUUUCAAUGAUCUAAUCUGAUCUGAGUUAAAUUUUCCCAGAUCCGUGCUAAAUGAGUGAAAACCAGGACGGCCCUAGCUCAAUUAGGGUUGUUUCGGAAGCUGAGACUGAUGGACCUGGAAAUGAAUCCGAACCCGAUGAUACCCAGGUGAAUGAGUCGAUGUCGACUGGAUCCAAGAAAAGAAGUCGGGAAGCCGAUUAUUCAGUGGAACAAAAAGGAAAAGCCCCCAAGAAACAGACAUCGGGAAAUGAAGCUUCAACUUCCCGACAACAACCAAAACAGAAAGAGACGAAAGAUGACGGAAACAAAGUGAAAAAUAUCAACUGUAAAAUAGAUAGACGGAAAAAGACGGUAAAGUGUCCUAAUUGAACUAAGAAUUUCAUAUUAGAUUGACAUUAUUGUUAUUUAUUAUGCAUACAUUUUGAAGAUAAAAAAGAUCUUUUGAUUUUUAAUGAUUUCUUAAGAUUGGCACUCGAACUACUGUGAGAUUGCUGGAUCUAUUGUACCGAGUUAUUUGAUCUAUCGGGUUAUUUGAAGAUGCUAGGUAGAUUCAAAAAGAUUAGUUUAUUUGUGUUAUUUAUAAUAUUAAUGAUAUUAUUAGUAUUUUCGUAAUAUUAUUAUUAAUGAUAUUCUUUACUUUUAUUUUUUUAUUAGAAUUGAAAAUGUUUAAUUAGAAUAGAAAAGUAUAAUUAAAGUUUAUAAAGAUAAAAAAUGUUACAUUCUGACAAUCAUAUAAUAUGGUCACGUCAUCUGGCAAGGAUUUGACUGUUUUCUAAACAGACAAUACCCCUCCAAAGAGAACAAUACAUCAUAUUUGUGCAGUUUGAAAAUCUGACACUUUUUCUAACACGUGUUUUGUGCAUAUAUUUGGUGUAAUGAAGGACAAAAUGACAGAUAUGGAAGUUCUGUUAUGGAAGAAGCUGGUACCCUUUCCAGACUCGUUACAAAUUCCUGCCUCCUUCAAUCAAAUCAGAAACGAGUGGCCAUUGCGUCCUGAUCUUCAAAAAAUUUCCCAAAAGAUGCAGGACAUCAAGACCAAAUCCAAUAAUGAUGUGACAUUGGAUUGACUAAAUCAGGAGUUAGAUGCAUUAGGGAAAAAACGAAAGGUACACUAAUGAUUACAAAUCUAAUUACUAAGUUUGCUUUCAUGAUCUAAAUCUCCAAUUUAACUUUCUAAAUUGAUUUUCCAGGAACAAGAAAGGGCUCUUGGUGCAGUCUUGGUAUGCACAUUUCUUAUCAUUGAUCUUAACCAACAUAGAGUUAUUAUUUCUUAGAUAAGAUAAACAUUUCUUGUUUAUAAAUCGCUCAUGCACAGACAUGUUAUUUCAAAGGUUUUUUAAUGUAUUUAGAGGAAUCUUGGAUGGUCAUAUUCAAUAUCCGUAUCCGAAUGUGUCGGUACAUGGACACUUCGAGCAAAAAUGAAGAGUUCGAACAACCUAGAUUUUAAGUAUCAGGCUGGAAACCUAAUGUUUAGGACUCUCCCUGCUUCUCUUGUCCUGCAUGGACUUUUGCAUUGAGAAUUAUACAUAUUGUUGAAUCCUUCUAAGUAUUACAGACAUACUUUUGUAUGUAUAUAUAUGUUUGAAGCUACAAACUUAAAUAUGCAUACCUUGACCUCUAUAUAUUUUUUUUCUUUUUUGUAGUAUACCAUGUCUCAAUGUAUCAAAGUCGUUCUUAGACUUGCCCUCAUAAAGUUAACAUCUCUCCUUCUCGAUCAUUUUUUUAUAUUUCUCUUAAAUUUCAGGACAUCGACAUGGCGACUGAGAUUCAAAUAGAAAGGGUAUGAUAUAUGCAUACAUACAUAUAUUGCAUUGAGAAUCAGCUGACCUAAGAAGCAUUUGGGAACUUGGAUUUCAAAAGUAGUGCAAGUUAAAUGAUAGAAUGUACAUAAAAUUUUUUGUUUAUAGUUAUUUCUCAAAUACAUAUAUUUGUUGAAUGCGUGUUAGUAAUUAAUUUGGAAUUCAUUUUUUUAAUUAAAAAAAAUUCAAAUACAUAAUCGCAUUCAAUCUCAACUAAUUUAUUUAUAAUUAUAUACACAUCAUUUUUCGUAAUUUAUAUUAUAAAUGAAAUCAAAAUCAAAAUCUUCAAACUUCAAUAUGGCUACUACAAAAUUAUGACUUGUUUUCUAUGUUUGUUGUUUUAGUGUUCUGAAUACAUGUCAUGGCUUCUUCCUCAAGUUCAAGAUCAAGUUGAAGAUCAAGAUCAAGUUCAAGUUGAAGAUCAAGUUGAAGAUCAAGAUCAAGAUCAAGUUCAAGAUCAAGUUCAAGUUCAAGAUCAAGUUGAAUAUCAAGUUCAAGAUCAAGAUCAAGUUCAAGUUCAAGUUCAAGAUCAAGUUCAAGAAAAUUUGUUCACCCCUGAAGCAAUGCAAUUGUGGAGUUCGGAAAACCAACUUUAUGACGAAGACAAUAUUAGUUUGUCAGCUAAUGAAGGAAUACAGUUUUUAGUGAUGAGGUUGGAAAACGAACUUUAUGACAAUAAUAAUAAUGAAGUGUCCUUCGAAGAUUUCGAAGGGCUAGCAGGGGAUUUGGAGAAAACUACCGGCUUGGCUCCUCUUCCAGACAAACUCAAACCUUUUGCAGCCCAAAUCAAAGAGGCUCGUGGGGAAACUGGGAUUAACCAUAUGUUAAUUGAAGUUAUCGUCUGCGCUGCAAUCAAGGAGAUGAAAUGUUUACCAUCCAAGUCUGUGAACUGGAAUAUGUUGAAAAAAUGGGGAGCGACACUGAGUUAUGCUAAGCACAAUGGUUUUCAAGUUAGCUUUGCUGAUUUGUUACUCAAGAAGAAUUGGAAAUCAUACGCUCUUGAAAGUUUGUUAACUAAUGAAGAAUUUCCGUCUAAUUUGCGGAGUGUGGGUAGGUUGUUAACUAAUGAAGAAAUACAGUCUUUAGGGACUUGGUUGACGAGUUUGGAAGACCAAAUUUAUGACGGAAACAACAAUGAAGUGUCCUUCAAAGAUUUCGAAUGGUUAGAAGAGGAAUUGGCGAAAACUAAGGGCUUGGCUCCUCUUCCAGACAAGCUCAAAUCUAUUGCAGCCCAAAUCAAAGGGGCUCAUGGGAAAGAUACUGGGAUUAACCAUCUGUCAAUUGAAGUUAUCGUCUGUGCUGCAAUCAAGGAGAUGGAAUUUUUGCCAUCCGAGUCUGUGAACUGGGAUAUGUUGAAAAAAUGGGGAGCGACACUCAAUUAUGCCAAGCAAAAUGGUUUUCAGGUGAGCUUUGCUGAUGUGUCCCUGAAGAGGAAUUUGAAAUCCUACGUUCUUGAUAAUUACUCUUGGUCGAGGUAUUUAGAUUUUUGAAUUAUUUUGGAUUGGAUCAAUCUCUGGAUCUAGUUAUUUCAUAUUCGGGAUGUUUUAAGUUUAGAUCAUCUUAGAGUUAAGGUCAAUUUGAGUUCAGCCAGUUUAGGUUUAAUUAUAGAUGAGGUUCAGACUUCAGGAUUUCUCUAUUUACUCUCUCUACAAGAAACUGUGGUUUUUGAUAUGGAAUUGUGGUGUAGUUUGUUGUGGAAUUUGUAUUGUGUACGUGUGUAUUUGUUAAUGUUAUAUAAUCGUCUUGGUUGUAUUUUUCAUGUCUCAUUUUUCUAACAGUAUUCGAAAUUUGAACUUUGUAUUUGUAAAUGUGCUCCAAAGGCAAAUUUCAUUAAUUUGAACAUGCAAAUUCAAAUCACGAUUAUGAUAUAUUACUACUCAAUUGGGCUUAAAGUAGGUCAAAGUCGAAGCAAUUCAAGUUGAAAUUAAACAUCCGAGAGGACCAUCACCCAAGUCUUACCUAAACCCGAAUUGUUAUUAGACCAAUAAAGAAAACUCACGUUCGUUACUAUUUAAACGAAUAACAGUUAAAUAUUCUUGGGAAUUAAGUGAAAAUCAUAUUCUAACUUACGAGAUAUGAUUUCUUCCUAAAAUCGAUAUAAUCGAAUAUUUUUCAAAAUAAAUAAUUUUCAGUGUUUAUCCUUGUUUCGGGGAUUUAAGAUAUUGUGUCCUAACUUACGGGACAUAAUUUUUUUCUCGAUUAACGUGAAGUACGCUAUUUUUUCAAAAAAUUUUAAUUAAAUAAUAUUUUAACAAAGUAUCGUACUUUUAAAAUCUUCAAAAGUUCUCAAAAUUUAGACACCAAUAUAUUAAUUAAUCAACUAGGUACAAAUUUUGAGUGUAUUGAGGAUGCUAACCCUUCCUCGUGCGUAAUCAACUCCCGAACCCAUUUUUCUAGAUUUUGUAGACCAAAAAUCAUCGUUUCAAUAAAUUUAAAUUUUUUUUUGAAACGAUUGAAUUACCAGAUGACCCGAUCACACCUCAUCAAAAAGGAUUGAUGGCGACUUCUAUUUUAUAGUUUUCAUUUUCAAAAUAAAGUUGAAUUCGUUUUUUUUAAAUGGUUUUGACAAUAUUUAUUAUUCUUAUAAGUUUUUUAUAAAAUUUUAAAUAUUAUUAUAUUUAUUAAAAAAUUAAAAAAUUAUAAGAUUUUAUAUUUUUAUUAUAUCUAUAAGUUUUAUUAUUUUUUAUAAUUUUUAUAAGUAUAUAUCAAUUUUAAUAUUUUUUAAAUAUUUUUAAUUUUUUAUAUUUUCUAUAAUUUUUCCUUUCUUAUAAAUUUUAAUUAUUUUAUAAUAAAAUAUUAUACUAAACUAGAAGUUGUUAUGUGUUAUCAUCUAAUUGAUUCGUCAACUUAUUUUAACAGAUUUUAUGAUUAAUCACAGAUUCUAUUAAUAAAUGGGCUUAAUUAAUUAUUUUAAAUAACAAUAAAUAAAAGUUAAAUUGAAUGCAAUUUUAAUACAAAAACUUAAUUUUUUUUGCGCAAAUUUUUAAGAUUUUUUUUUCAUAUAACGUCAUCAUUAUUACAAAAGCAACAGCAAAACAAAGAAAAAAACAAUCUCACCUGUUUUUUGUCUUCUGAAUUUAUAAGGUUAAGUUAUGAUAUCAGUCCCCGUACUUUAUAAAAGUUGAGGAUUUAGUCACUGUAUUUUAAUUUGAUUAAAUUUAGUUUGUAUAUUUUUUGAAUUGGUAAAUUUUAGUCUCUGUACUUUUUUAAUUUUAAAAUUUUAGUCCUGAUUCAAACAGUAGUAAUUAAAUUCAUUCAGUUAAAUUUAAUUAUUAAUCUCUUACUAUGCAUUCAAUUGUAGAUCAAGUUCAAGAUCAAGAUCAAGAUCAAGAUCAAGAUCAAGUUCAAGUUCAAGAAAAUUUGUUCACUCCUGAAGGAAUGCAAUUGUGGAGUUCGGAAAACCAACUUUAUGACGAAGACAACAUUAGUUUGUCAACUAACGAAGGAAUGCGGUUUUUAGUGACGAGUUUGGAAAACCAACUUUAUGACAAUAAUAAUAAUAAAGUGUCCUUCGAAGAUUUCGAAGGGCUAGCAGAGGCAUUGGAGAAAACUAGCGGCUUGGCUCCUCUUCCAGACAAACUCAAACCUUUUGCAGCCCAAAUCAAAGAUGCUCGUGGGGAAGAUAUUGAGAUUAACCAUAUGUUAAUUGAAGUUAUCGUCUUCGCUGCAAUCAAGGAGAUGAAAUGUUUGCCAUCCGAGUCUGUGAACUGGAAUAUGUUGAAAAAAUGGGGAGCGACACUCAGUUAUGCUAAGAAAAAUGGUUUUCAAGUGAGCUAUGCUGAUUUGUUACUCAAGAAGAAUUUGAAAUCAUACGUUCUUGAAAGUUUGUCAACUAAUGAAGAAUUUCCGGGUAGGUUGUUAACUAAUGAAGAAAUACGGUCUUUAGUGACUUGUUUGACGAGUUUGGAAGACCAAAUUUUUGACGGAAACAACAAUGAAGUGUCCUUCAAAGAUUUCGAAUGGUUAGAAGAGGAAUUGGAGAAAACUAAGGGCUCGGAUCCUCUUCCAGACAAGCUCAAAUCUAUUGCAGCCCAAAUCAAAGGGGCUCAUGGGAAAGAUACUGGGAUUAACCAUCUGUCAAUUGAAGUUAUCGUCUGUGCUGCAAUCAAGGAGAUGGAAUUUUUGCCAUCCGAGUCUGUGAACUGGGAUAUGUUGAAAAAAUGGGGAGCGACACUCAAUUAUGCCAAGCAAAAUGGUUUUCAGGUGAGCUUUGCUGAUGUGUCCCUGAAGAGGAAUUUGAAAUCCUACGUUCUUGAUAAUUACUCUUGGUCGAGGUAUUUAGAUUUUUGAAUUAUUUUGGAUUGGAUCAAUCUCUGGAUCUAGUUAUUUCAUAUUCGGGAUGUUUUAAGUUUAGAUCAUCUUAGAGUUAAGGUCAAUUUGAGUUCAGCCAGUUUAGGUUUAAUUAUAGAUGAGGUUCAGACUUCAGGAUUUCUCUAUUUACUCUCUCUACUAGAAACUGUGGUUUUUGGUAUGGAAUUGUGGUGUAGUUUGUUGUGUAACUUGUAUUGUGUACGUGUGUAUUUGUUAGUGUUAUAUAAUCGUCUUGGUUGUAUUUUUCAUGUCUCAUUUUUCUAACAGUACUCGAAAUUUGAGAUUUGUAUUUGUAAAUGUGUUCCAUGGCAAAUUUCGUUAAUUUGAACAUGCAAAUUUAAUUCACGAUUAUGAUAUUACUACUUAAUUGGGCUUAAAGUAGGUCAAAGCCAAAGCAAUUCAAGUUGAAAAACUUUUUCACGUUAAAGUUUUCAUGCUUGGGUAACUAAACAGGGAAUGUCUUGAGUGAAAAAUGUACAGUUAACUGUCAUUAUAAAUUUCAUAUUUGGAUGACUAAAAUAAAAGUGGAUUAAAUGACAAAAUUGUAACUAUAUUUAAAAUAAAAAGUACCUAAAAUUUGGGUCACUAACUAGACAGUUUACCCUACUUUUGUUUGGACUUUUUAGCGGUUGGGAAGAUUUGUUGAAGCAGAUAGGAAGUUUAUUCUGAACGCGUUUAUUUAGAACUGAUUAAAUUCUAAGUUUAGUGUUUGUAUUUGCUUAAAAUUACGUUUUGGUGAUCAAGAUUUAAAAAAUUAUUAUAUGAUCACAAACAUAAAGAAUUUAGUAUGUUAUUGUACAAGCCCAAUUCUGCCCGGGCCCAUUACAACCCAAACCUAACCACUAACCCAUUACAACCCUAUCCUAAGUCCAACAAAACAAAGCUUAAAAAUUUAAAAAACCGUAGCCCACAAAUUUUUUUAGCAAAGAGGGAAACCCUAGAUCUGCUGUCUCCUUUCAGCCGCCGCUACCCAUGUUUGCCUCCACUACUCACGUUCUCCACCACCAUGCGCCCACACAUCACACCACCCACGUUCAUCAUACCUGCAAGGAAUAGAAGCAAUAAAUAGUUGUAAAUAUGGCUAUAAAAAGUCACAAAUAUUUAUUGUAAUUUUUUUUACAAACUCAAUACAAAAAACACAUAAUCAAUAUUAAAAAUACUCGGAUCUUUGAAUUCAAAUACACAUGCUACCAAUACAAAAGAAAAAUUCGAAGCAAAGAGGUGAUUUCAUUUUUUUUAUUUUCUUUCUCAUUUUUUGAAUUUUUUUUCUCUUAUAUAGAUAUAUAAUAAAAGAAGUAGAAGAGGCUUACUCUUGUUAAUCGCAAAAAAAAAAAUAGCAACUUUUAUAGUUCUGACCGCCGUGCACGGCAACCAACGGUGGCAGAGCUCGCGGCGGUGCUCGGCUGGAGUUAGGCCGGACUUGGAGAGGGGAGGAGAGAGUUCAGAGAUUUUUUUUAAGUUUAAAAAAAAAACAAAGAUAGAAUGAUUUUUUUUUUGUAAAAAAAUGUGACUUAAAUAGUAAAUUAAAACGACGUCGUUUUGACCUAAGCUCAUAAGCCUUAAAGUGACGUCGUUUUGCCCUUGUCCGACCCGACCCGCCUCAGGAUCCUCGUGUUUUUAAGUAGAAGGGCUAAUUGCACUUUUAGCCAUUAUGCUUUUUUAUGGUUUUGCAAUUAAG